rnacentral:lncRNA from 1 species
UUUGUUAUUUUUAUUUUUUUUAGUAUUCUCCCAAAACACCACCUCGAUGGGCAGAAGAUCAGAAUUCUUUACUGAAAAUGAUUUGCCAACAAGUAGAGGCCAUUAAGAAAGAAAUGCAGAGGUUGAAACUAAAUAGCAGUUAAAGUCAGCAUCCCA